rnacentral:rRNA from 1 species
AGAGUUUGAUCCUGGCUCAGGAUGAACGCUGGCGGCGUGCUUAACACAUGCAAGUCGAACGAACCUUCGGGUUAGUGGCGGACGGGUGAGUAACGCGUGGGAAUCUGCCCUCAGGAGGGGGAUAACGGUUGGAAACGACCGCUAAUACCCCAUAUGCCGAGAGGUGAAAUGAAUUUCGCCUGAGGAUGAGCCCGCGUCUGAUUAGCUUGUUGGUGAGGUAAUGGCUCACCAAGGCAUCGAUCAGUAGCUGGUCUGAGAGGAUGAUCAGCCACACUGGGACUGAGACACGGCCCAGACUCCUACGGGAGGCAGCAGUGGGGAAUUUUCCGCAAUGGGCGCAAGCCUGACGGAGCAACGCCGCGUGAGGGACGAAGGCCUCUGGGCUGUAAACCUCUUUUCUCAAGGAAGAAGAUAUGACGGUACUUGAGGAAUAAGCCACGGCUAAUUCCGUGCCAGCAGCCGCGGUAAUACGGGAGUGGCAAGCGUUAUCCGGAAUUAUUGGGCGUAAAGCGUCCGCAGGCGGCCUUUCAAGUCUGCUGUUAAAGCGUGGAGCUUAACUCCAUCAUGGCAGUGGAAACUGAUUGGCUUGAGUAUGGUAGGGGCAGAGGGAAUUCCCGGUGUAGCGGUGAAAUGCGUAGAUAUCGGGAAGAACACCAGUGGCGAAGGCGCUCUGCUGGGCCAUUACUGACGCUCAUGGACGAAAGCCAGGGGAGCGAAAGGGAUUAGAUACCCCUGUAGUCCUGGCCGUAAACGAUGAACACUAGGUGUCGGGGGAAUCGACCCCUUCGGUGUCGUAGCUAACGCGUUAAGUGUUCCGCCUGGGGAGUACGCACGCAAGUGUGAAACUCAAAGGAAUUGACGGGGGCCCGCACAAGCGGUGGAGUAUGUGGUUUAAUUCGAUGCAACGCGAAGAACCUUACCAGGGCUUGACAUCCUGCGAACCUUUAAGAAAUUAGAGGGUGCCUUCGGGAACGCAGUGACAGGUGGUGCAUGGCUGUCGUCAGCUCGUGUCGUGAGAUGUUGGGUUAAGUCCCGCAACGAGCGCAACCCACGUUUUUAGUUGCCAGCAUUUAGUUGGGCACUCUAGAAAGACCGCCGGUGAUAAACCGGAGGAAGGUGUGGAUGACGUCAAGUCAUCAUGCCCCUUACGUCCUGGGCUACACACGUACUACAAUGCUACGGACAAAGGGCAGCAAACUCGCGAGAGCUAGCAAAUCCCAUAAACCGUGGCUCAGUUCAGAUCGUAGGCUGCAACUCGCCUACGUGAAGUAGGAAUCGCUAGUAAUCGCAGGUCAGCAUACUGCGGUGAAUACGUUCCCGGGCCUUGUACACACCGCCCGUCACACCAUGGAAGUUGGCCACGCCCGAAGUCGUUACUUUAACCCUUGUGGAGAAGGACGCCGAAGGUGGGGCUGAUGACUGGGGUGAAGUCGUAACAAGGUAGCCGUACCGGAAGGUGCGGCUG